rnacentral:rRNA from 1 species
UACGUAGGGGGCUAGCGUUGUCCGGAAUCAUUGGGCGUAAAGCGCGCGUAGGCGGCCCGGUAAGUCCGCUGUGAAAGUCAAAGGCUCAACCUUUGAAUGUCAGCGGAUACUGCCGGGCUAGAGUCCGGAAGAGGAGAGUGGAAUUCCUGGUGUAGCGGUGAAAUGCGCAGAUAUCAGGAAGAACACCAAUGGCGAAGGCAGCUCUCUGGGACGGUACUGACGCUGAGACGCGAAAGCGUGGGGAGCGAACAGG